AUUGAACGCUGGCGGCAUGCCUUACACAUGCAAGUCGAACGGCAGCACGGGUGCUUGCACCUGGUGGCGAGUGGCGAACGGGUGAGUAAUACAUCGGAACAUGUCCUGUAGUGGGGGAUAGCCCGGCGAAAGCCGGAUUAAUACCGCAUACGAUCUACGGAUGAAAGCGGGGGACCUUCGGGCCUCGCGCUAUCGGGUUGGCCGAUGGCUGAUUAGCUAGUUGGUGGGGUCAAGGCCUACCAAGGCGACGAUCAGCAGCUGGUCUGAGAGGACGACCAGCCACACUGGGACUGAGACACGGCCCAGACUCCUACGGGAGGCAGCAGUGGGGAAUUUUGGACAAUGGGCGAAAGCCUGAUCCAGCAAUGCCGCGUGUGUGAAGAAGGCCUUCGGGUUGUAAAGCACUUUUGUCCGGAAAGAAAUCCUUGGCCCUAAUACGGUCGGGGGAUGACGGUACCGGAAGAAUAAGCACCGGCUAACUACGUG
rnacentral:rRNA from 1 species